rnacentral:rRNA from 1 species
AGUGAACGCUGGCGGUAGGCCUAACACAUGCAAGUCGAACGGCAGCACAGUAAGAGCUUGCUCUUACGGGUGGCGAGUGGCGGACGGGUGAGGAAUACAUCGGAAUCUACUUUUUCGUGGGGGAUAACGUAGGGAAACUUACGCUAAUACCGCAUACGACCUACGGGUGAAGGCAGGGGAUCUUCGGACCUUGCGCGAUUGAAUGAGCCGGUGUCGGAUUAGCUAGUUGGCGGGGUAAAGGCCCACCAAGGCGACGAUCCGUAGCUGGUCUGAGAGGAUGAUCAGCCACACUGGAACUGAGACACGGUCCAGACUCCUACGGGAGGCAGCAGUGGGGAAUAUUGGACAAUGGGCGCAAGCCUGAUCCAGCCAUACCGCGUGGGUGAAGAAGGCCUUCGGGUUGUAAAGCCCUUUUGUUGGGAAAGAAAAGCAGCAGGUUAAUACCCCGCUGUUCUGACGGUACCCAAAGAAUAAGCACCGGCUAACUUCGUG